AGCGGAGCGUGUGGUUUAAUUCGAGGCUACGCGAAGAACCUUACCUGGGAGUGACAUGGUGGUAGUACGGAAGCGAAAGCGGAAGGACCCUUCGGGGAGCCAUCACAGGUGCUGCAUGGUUGUCGUCAGCUCGUGCCGUGAGGUGUUCGGUUAAGUCCGCAAACGAGCGCAACCCUCGGUGCUAGUUAUAAGUGUCUAGCAUGACUGCCCGUGACAAACGGGAGGAAGGUGGGGAUGACGUCAAAUCAGCAUGGCCUUAAUAUCCAGGCACAC
rnacentral:rRNA from 1 species